rnacentral:rRNA from 1 species
GACGAACGCUGGCGGUGUGCUUCAUACAUGCAAGUCGAACGAGGUAGCAAUACCUAGUGGCGGACGGGUGAGUAACGCGUGGGAAUCUGCCUUAAGCAGGGGGAUAGCUGGCCGAAAGGCUAAUUAAUACCGCAUACGCGCAUAUCCCGACAGGGUUAUGCGUGAAAGGAGUAAUCCGGCUUAAGAUGAGCCCGCGUGCGAUUAGCUAGUUGGUGGGGUAAAGGCCCACCAAGGCAACGAUCGCUAGGUGGUCUGAGAGGAUGAUCACCC